AAGCAGGCCCGAGUCGCCUGGAUACCCCAGCUAGGAAUAAUGGAAUAGGACCCUGGUUCUAUUUUGUUGGUUUUCGGAACUGGGGCCAUUGGAGGGCAAGUCUGGUGCCAGCAGCCGCGGUAAUUCCAGCUCCAAUAGCGUAUAUUAAAGUUGCUGCAGUUAAAAAGCUCGUAGUUGGAUCUUGGGAUCGAGCUGGCGGUCCGCCGCGAGGCAAGCCACCGCCUGUCCCAGCCCCUGCCUCUCAGCGCCACCUCGAUGCUCUUAGCUGAGUGUCCCGCGGGGCCCGAAGCGUUUACAAUAGAAAAAAUUGAGGAUAAAAUAAGAAAUAUCGAGAAUAAAAUAGAAAAACUUGAGGAUAAAAUAGGAAAUAUUGAGAAUAAAAUAGGAAAUAUUGAGGAUAAAAUGGGAAAUAUGGAAGAUAAAAUAGGAAAAAUUGAGGAAUGAAGGAAAUUUGAGGUUUACAACAUGAAAAAAGUGUUCUAAAUCUCUUAUAAUCAGAGAGAUGCAAAUCAAAAAAACUCUGAGGUUCACCUCACACCUAGCAGAUUGUUCAACA
rnacentral:ncRNA from 1 species